UUGCUCUGCCGUGGUUUGAAUCUGGAGUGUCCUCCUAGGGCCCAUGUUGCAGAACGUUUGUCCUUCAGCUGAUGUAGUUUUUGAGAAGUGGUGGUGCACUUAAGACGUUGGAUCUACUGGGAGGAAGUUAGGUCAUUUGGAGGCUUGCCUUGGAAGGGGAUAUUCAGACACUCCAUUUUUCUUUGUUUUCAGGUGCCAUAUGUGGUUUUUUCCUCUGCCACAUCUUCCAAGUAUGAUGUCGUCUGUCAUCCAAAGCACGGAGCAAUGAGAUCACAUCGUGGCGGACAGAUACCACUGUAACUGACUGGCCCUGCUCACUCCAUCUCCGCACUGUUGGUUAACAGGGGACUCUCUGACUUUCAUGAGGAUCACUGGACAUGUGACAGAAAACUGGGAGAUCAGGAAGCUGUCCUUCCCUGCUUUGACUUUGUUCUGUCAGAACUGAUAAGUUAAAAAACUGCCAUCGGGUGUUCAGCAGGAGAGUGAAGGAACAUCACACACUCUGUAGCAGCAAUCAGAGGCUGAACCUGCCAGCAGAGCUGACUCUGAUGGACAAACGCUUCCUAGGCCCAUCCAUGGCGCCUUAGAAGUGCCCAACCUCAGAGCUACCUUUGGGCAUCUUCUUGAGCUUGUGAUCUGUUUCUUAAGGAUUUCAAAAAUGGGAUCACGUGGAGUUCUUACCCGUCGUUUCAGUGGACUGGAGGCUCCUGAUGCAGCUGCUAUCGGCAGACCUCCUGGACUGCCCUGGGAAGGGAGUGGGAGCUCCUGCCACAGAUGGGUGGAACAUCGACAAGAAGAUUUAACAUUGGCUAAAGGUGGCCAAAAAUAACAGUGCCUUCCAGAUGAGGUGACCUCAGAGCCAAGAGCAUCAUGGGGUAGAGUAUCUUGUUCCCAGUUUUAUGACCUAAAAAGUACACAGAAGAUGCAAAGAUACUACAGAGAGAAGGAACAAAGUCUGCAGAGAACAGGGGAAGGCGGUUAGUUAUAUAUAUAUAUAUAUAUAUAUAUUUUUUUUAAAUAGGAUUUUGUUGUGUGUGAACACACAGCCUUUUAUACAUGUUUGAAGAGAGAUCUAGAUCUAUACAUAUAUAAAUGAUAGAUGAAUAGGUGAUAGAUGAUCGAUAGAUAGAUAGAUAGAUAGAUAGAUAGAUAGAUAGAACAAAACACAAUAGAAGACCAAAAGGAGAAAAAGGUAGAAACAAUGUUGCCUUCCUUUGCUAUUGAAACAAACUUAAUAAAUCCUCAUUGAGACUCAA